rnacentral:rRNA from 1 species
GCAUAUCAAUAAGCGGAGGAAAAGAAACCAACAGGGAUUGCCCUAGUAACGGCGAGUGAAGCGGCAACAGCUCAAAUUUGAAAUCUGGCUCUUUUAGGGUCCGAGUUGUAAUUUGCAGAGGGCGCUUUGGCUUUGGCAGCGGUCCAAGUUCCUUGGAACAGGACGUCACAGAGGGUGAGAAUCCCGUACGUGGUCGCUAGCUAUUGCCGUGUAAAGCCCCUUCGACGAGUCGAGUUGUUUGGGAAUGCAGCUCUAAAUGGGAGGUAAAUUUCUUCUAAAGCUAAAUAUUGGCCAGAGACCGAUAGCGCACAAGUAGAGUGAUCGAAAGAUGAAAAGCACUUUGGAAAGAGAGUCAAACAGCACGUGAAAUUGUUGAAAGGGAAGCGCUUGCAGCCAGACUUGCUUGCAGUUGCUCAUCCGGGCUUUUGCCCGGUGCACUCUUCUGUAGGCAGGCCAGCAUCAGUUUGGGCGGUGGGAUAAAGGUCUCUGUCACGUACCUCUCUUCGGGGAGGCCUUAUAGGGGAGACGACAUACCACCAGCCUAGACUGAGGUCCGCGCAUCUGCUAGGAUGCUGGCGUAAUGGCUGUAAGCGGCCCGUCUUGAAACACGGACCAAGGAGUCUAACAUCUAUGCGAGUGUUUGGGUGUCAAGCCCGAGCGCGUAAUGAAAGUGAACGGAGGUGGGAACCCGCAAGGGUGCACCAUCGACCGAUCCUGAAGUUUUCGGAAGGAUUUGAGUAAGAGCAUGGCUGUUGGGACCCGAAAGAUGGUGAACUAUGCUUGAAUAGGGUGAAGCCAGAGGAAACUCUGGUGGAGGCUCGCAGCGGUUCUGACGUGCAAAUCGAUCGUCAAAUUUGGGCAUAGGGGCGAAAGACUAAUCGAACUAUCUAGUAGCUGGUUCCUGCCGAAGUU